UACGUAGGGGGCAAGCGUUGUCCGGAUUUAUUGGGCGUAAAGAGCUCGUAGGCGGCUUGUCGCGUCGUCCGUGAAAACCUGGGGCUCAACCCCAGGCUUGCGGUCGAUACGGGCAGGCUAGAGUUCGGUAGGGGAGACUGGAAUUCCUGGUGUAGCGGUGAAAUGCGCAGAUAUCAGGAGGAACACCGGUGGCGAAGGCGGGUCUCUGGGCCGAUACUGACGCUGAGGAGCGAAAGCGUGGGGAGCGAACAGG
rnacentral:rRNA from 1 species